CGGGGUGUGGCGCAGCUUGGUAGCGCGCUUCGUUCNNUCGGGACGAAGAGGUCGUGGGUUCAAAUCCCGCCACCCCGACCA
rnacentral:tRNA from 1 species